UGUUGUAUGAGAGUGAAACAGAAGAAAUCCAGGCAUCACAAGAAAGAACUGAAGUACCGCCAAUCAACAACUUGGAACAACAAGAAAGCACCUACACUGAUACUUGCAAACAGUCGACAUACAAUUCAUUGUUUCUGACUCCAAGACAACGAAUAAAUGCAUUUACAGAAAGACAGUGUCUUGGGGGUACUGUGCCGGAAUUUGGUCCUGUGAAUGUACCAACAGUAGAUCUUUGGUCACUUGUCAGUCCAAAAGACAUAACUGAAAAAGAAUUAAAAAUUAUUGAAAAAGAAGUCACCACAUUCAAACCUGGUUGGCUGACUGACUCUGUAAUUGACGCUUUUUUGUGGAGUUUGACUGAAAACUACACUACUGUUCUUGCAGCAGAAUCAUUUAUUUCAGAGAUUAUUAAAAACAACUCAAGCACAAGAUGCACAUAGGCUAAUAUAUCUUUUCACCAAACCAAAAUUAUCAUUUUUCCAAUCAACAUUCAUGGCAUUCAUUGGACACUACUGACUAUAGAUAAGUUCACAAAAACAAGACUCUACUUUGACUCACUUGGAGGAAGUGCAGACAAAAAGACACCUAAUACACAGAUGAUGUAUCAUAUAAACAAACUAAGUGCUUUGGUAGAUGUAAAAACAGGUUGGAACUCAAGCUCAUGGCAAUGUUUUGAGCCACUCCAUUGUAAACAGGAAGAUAUGUAUAACUGUGGAGUGUACAUAUGCUUGUUUGCUCGAUGUCUAGCCCUUGACUUGGAUCAAAAACCAGCAAACAUGGAGACUGAGAGAAAACAAAUCCUUUCAACAUUACUUGGGUCUUGCUAUGAUGAUAUCACACGAUAAGGCAUAAAUAACAUUUGGUUGAAUAUUUUUAUAUGGAAUUCAUUAUGAAUAUCUUAGGAAGCGAAAUGUGGCUGUUUGCAAAAUAUGCAGAGAGGAUGACAAUGAAGACUGGCUGAGUUGUGAUCAAUAUGGUCAAGUUUUUCAUUCAAAUUGCCUUAAUGUUGACUUUGCCAUAACCUUGUCAACACAUUAUAGAUGCAGAUAAAAUUAUUAUCAAUAUUAUUUGACAUGCAACAAAAUCAUUGUUAUGGUAUCAAUGCAAAUUGUGCAAUUAAAAUGAGUGCUUCAAAAUAUAGUAAUGUGUGAAUGAAAAAUACUUUAAUUCAAGAUAAAAUCAGCUGGAAAAUUAAAUUGAUUCGUCACGAUUGUGCUUGCCACUAAUUGAAUCUCAGACAUGCUAUGAAUAGUUUGAAACUGUUGAUGAAAUGUUACCAUAAACUACAAGUUUUACAAAUAUAUCUGAAAUAAAAUGGCUUAUUCUUAUUUCU